rnacentral:rRNA from 1 species
AGCGAACGCUGGCGGCAGGCCUAACACAUGCAAGUCGAACGAACCUUUCGGGGUUAGUGGCGGACGGGUGAGUAACACGUGGGAACGUGCCUUUAGGUUCGGAAUAACUCAGGGAAACUUGUGCUAAUACCGAAUGUGCCCUUCGGGGGAAAGAUUUAUCGCCUUUAGAGCGGCCCGCGUCUGAUUAGCUAGUUGGUUGAGGUAAUGGCUCACCAAGGCGACGAUCAGUAGCUGGUCUGAGAGGAUGAUCAGCCACAUUGGGACUGAGACACGGCCCAAACUCCUACGGGAGGCAGCAGUGGGGAAUCUUGCGCAAUGGGCGAAAGCCUCACGCAGCCAUGCCGCGUGAAUGAUGAAGGUCUUAGGAUUGUAAAAUUCUUUCACCGGGGACGAUAAUGACGGUACCCGGAGAAGAAGCCCCGGCUAACUUCGUG